rnacentral:rRNA from 1 species
GAUGAACGCUAGCGGCAGGCCUAAUACAUGCAAGUCGAACGGUGUCUUCGGACAUAGUGGCGCACGGGUGCGUAACACGUAUGCAACCUACCUUACAUUGGGGGAUAGCCUUUCGAAAGGGAGAUUAAUACCGCAUAAGACAGUAGCUGGGCAUCCAGCAGCUGUUAAAGAUUUAUCGAUGUAAGCUGGGCAUGCGUCCAAUUAGCUAGUUGAUGAGGUAACGGCUCACCAAGGCAAUGAUUGGUAGGGGAACUGAGAGGUCAAUCCCCCACACUGGCACUGAGAUACGGGCCAGACUCCUACGGGAGGCAGCAGUAGGGAAUAUUGGGCAAUGGACGCAAGUCUGACCCAGCCAUGCCGCGGGCAGGAUGAAGGCGUUAUGCGUUGUAAACUGCUUUUAUACAGGAAGAAACGACUCUUGCGAGAGGCAUUGACGGUACUGUAUGAAUAAGCACCGGCUAACUCCGUGCCAGCCGCCGCAGUAACAC